GGGGGCACAUUCCUAGGGGUCUGAGAAGGCUGAAGGGUGGUCGAUGAAGGGGCUUAUUCAGUCCGUUCCCUCUCCGUGUCCAGUUGUCACUAACUGUAGGUUCUUUGUCCCCAGGUGGUGGCCGCAGGGGAGUGUGCUGAUCUAUACAAGCCGCACGGUACGGAAACCGAAGUUCAGAGAGGGUAGGUGCUGUCCUCAAGGUCAUCCAGCACAUUACCAGCGAAGCAAGACCGGAAACAGCCAGGAUUGUCCACUCCCCGCCAGUGUUCUUUCCAUCUGCCCUCGACAUCGUGGGCAGACACACUAAACCGGUGAGCAUAAAACCAGGAAGGCAAAAACAGAUCUAACGACCUCUGGCCCCUACGCCGUAAGGUUUCUGUAAGGACUAAAUGGGCUCAUGAUCGCAAGGGCUCCGGACAGCCCGUGGCGUCGGACGGAGACCAGAGUUGGUGUUUGCUCUCAGAUUCUCAUAAAACGACACUUUCCUCGUCCUUCCUUCUCUUUCCCCGCUUGGUUACAACGUCCUGUCCCUGCCGACUGCCGGCCUGAAAUUUACACAGGUCCACAAACCCAUACAAGGAAUGAAAUGGGCAACCCAUGUUCUCUAGUCUGAGCCCGACAGCUGCUGGGGAGAAAAUCUGAUAUGCGCCACGGACAAGGACUUAACGUAAGAACAAUUUUACACAUAAUCCUUCUCCUCCCCAUAGUUCUAGCCACAAAUGGUUUUACCCCCACGAACCGUGUGUUCACGGAAGGGUCAGGCGUCGGCAGCAGCUGCGGGUUUUACGUUGACGCUGAAGGGAGAGGCGUGCUGACGUCUGUGUCUGCCACGUUGAACGUACUUGGAGGAGCAGGGCUUAGAGCAGGAAGCACAGGAAGUCAGGAGUCCCAGGCGUGCUGGCCUCAACUCGAGCUUGGUGUGAGCGGGCAGCCUCACGUACGCUCGGGCUGGCCAGCUCCGGUGUCCCAGGGGCCGGUCUGUCCUUGUGUGUCUGUCCAAUCUGUGUCUACCCCUGGCUGUAAGGGCGACUGCUCCGUUUCACCCUUGGGCUUCCUUAUCCUGACACCGACAUAAACCAAUCCCCCUGCAAUCCUUCAGCCGCCCCGGUACAAAGAAGCCAGUUGCGUGAUGGGCAAAAGCAAGAUUUAAAAAAAAAAAAAUGUUUUAUGUGUAUCAUUCCUACCACUUUGGUAACUAAAA